rnacentral:rRNA from 1 species
UACGUAGGUCCCGAGCGUUGUCCGGAUUUAUUGGGCGUAAAGCGAGCGCAGGUGGUUUAUUAAGUCUGGUGUAAAAGGCAGUGGCUCAACCAUUGUAUGCAUUGGAAACUGGUAGACUUGAGUGUAGGAGAGGAGAGUGGAAUUCCAUGUGUAGCGGUGAAAUGCGUAGAUAUAUGGAGGAACACCGGUGGCGAAAGCGGCUCUCUGGCCUGUAACUGACACUGAGGCUCGAAAGCGUGGGGAGCAAACGGG